UACGUAGGUCCCGAGCGUUGUCCGGAUUUAUUGGGCGUAAAGCGAGCGCAGGCGGUUCUUUAAGUCUGAUGUGAAAGCCCCCGGCUCAACCGGGGAGGGUCAUUGGAAACUGGAGAACUUGAGUGCAGAAGAGGAGAGUGGAAUUCCACGUGUAGCGGUGAAAUGCGUAGAUAUAGGGAGGAACACCGGUUGCGAAGGCGGCUACCUGGUCAGAAACUGACGCUGAGGUACGAAAGCGUGGGGAGCAAACAGG
rnacentral:rRNA from 1 species